GUAUAGAAGAAAGCCCCAUUCUUUAAAAUCCACUUUUUUGUUUUCCAUUGAAACAAAGUCUUACAGUUUUGGAACACCAUGAAGGCCAGAUGGGAAACUCCAUCAUUGCAUUACACAAGUGAAGGAGCAUCUUGAGCAUCCAUGAUAAUGAAACGAGUACAGAUAUUACUGAUGAUGGAGUUGGAUGCCGGGCUGGCAGAGGGGCCCAGGACCGCCACAACCCCCUUCGACAUGAUCUGGCACACUGUCGAUAGUUAAGGGAAAGAACAAUUGUCAUUUAUUACAGACAGAGAGC